AUGAACGCUGGCGGCGUGCCUAAUACAUGCAAGUCGAGCGAACAGACGAGGAGCUUGCUCCUCUGACGUUAGCGGCGGACGGGUGAGUAACACGUGGAUAACCUACCUAUAAGACUGGGAUAACUUCGGGAAACCGGAGCUAAUACCGGAUAAUAUAUUGAACCGCAUGGUUCAAUAGUGAAAGACGGUUUUGCUGUCACUUAUAGAUGGAUCCGCGCCGCAUUAGCUAGUUGGUAAGGUAACGGCUUACCAAGGCAACGAUGCGUAGCCGACCUGAGAGGGUUAUCCGCCACACUGUAACUGAGACACGGUCCAGACUCCUACGGGAGGCAGCAGUAGGGAAUCUUCCGCAAUGGGCGAAAGCCUGACGGAGCAACGCCGCGUGAGUGAUGAAGGUCUUCGGAUCGUAAAACUCUGUUAUUAGGGAAGAACAAAUGUGUAAGUAACUAUGCACGUCUUGACGGUACCUAAUCAGAAAGCCACGGCUAACUACGUG
rnacentral:rRNA from 1 species